GCGGAGCCGCUGUCCUCUUUGGUCGUUCUAUGCUUCUAGGCUCAUAUCCGACAUCUUGGAGCAUCAUCUGAGGUCCGGGGAAGCUCUGCUCAUUAGGUUGGUUGCAUUGAGAAGUUUGGAGUGGGUGGAAUGUGGAGGUGAUCAAUAACAGGACAAGGUUGCUUCAUUCUGUGUUGUGAAGUGAAGGCAGUAGACUCAAGGAUCAAUCCUCAAUCCUAUAAGUAAAGGUAAGCUGGAAGUUGUGUUGAAAAUUGACUUGGAAUCCAUAAGUGGAGUAUGAUUGUAAAUGUUGGGAUUGAACUAGUUUCGGUCUGA
rnacentral:lncRNA from 1 species